UGCUCAAGAUGGCUGAGCUGGGGCUG
rnacentral:piRNA from 1 species